rnacentral:lncRNA from 1 species
UCCAUCAUCUCCAGGUUACAGCCCAUCAUCUCCUGGGUACAGUCCUACAUCGCCUGGGUAUAGUCCUACAUCCCCUGGGUACAGUCCUACUUCACCCGGUUACAGUCCUACUUCACCCACCUAUAGCCCAAGUUCUCCUGGCUAUAGCCCAACCAGCCCUGCUUAUUCUCCUACAAGUCCAUCUUAUUCCCCUACUUCCCCAAGUUAUAGUCCCACAUCUCCCAGUUACAGUCCCACAUCUCCUAGUUACAGCCCGACCUCUCCAAGUUAUAGCCCAACUUCCCCAAGUUAUAGCCCUACAUCACCCGUAUACAGUCCCACAUCACCUGCAUAUAGUCCCACAUCACCUGCAUAUAGUCCUACCUCGCCAUCAUACAGUCCGACUUCUCCUUCCUACAGCCCGACCUCUCCCUCGUACAGCCCGACUUCUCCUUCAUACAGCCCCACAUCACCAUCGUACAGCCCAACUUCGCCUGCUUAUAGCCCCACUUCCCCAGGUUACAGCCCAACCUCCCCAAGCUAUAGUCCGACCUCCCCAAGCUAUAGUCCGACCUCCCCAAGCUACAAUCCUCAGUCAGCAAAGUACAGUCCAUCGCUGGCAUACUCACCUAGCAGUCCAAGGUUGUCAC